UACAGUCACCAUAAACCAACAACCCUAGAAAAACCUGCUUUGUUGUCCUGAAGGAGCUGUUAUUGUUCAGAAUAUUUUACAUGUAAGUGAAACCUGAGAGUUCUUCUUCCUUCCUUUUAUAAUUUGUCAUUGGGAACUUCCAUUUUUAUUUAUUCUUUCACAUUUAGCACCUGAAUACUUAUGGGAUCUGCAAAAGUACAUAUUGAAAUAUGCAAAUGGUAUAUAGCAUGUGAGUGUCAGAUUCACGGAAAUUAAAUCAAAUACAGGGGAGAGAAAAGAAACAGAGUGCAUUAAAGCUAACUUUAUGGUCCCAAGCUGUAGACAAAUUGUGGUCUGUGGUAGUUAAACAACAGCUGUUCGAAUUUAAAAUAAAAUUAUGAUAAGGAUCCCCAGAAGAUAACACUUCUUGAGGUGAAUUUCUGCUCCAGCUGGCUGGGGACCAUCAUGACAAGGGAAUGUGAUCAAGAAGACAAACACAUAGAUAUCAUGAAGAAAAGAAAACGGAAGAUACCAAUAUACUUUAUUCUGAGCCAAGGCAAAGUCCAUCUGACAACAGCAGAUUGGACAAUAACUGAAAAUGUAGUCUGUAAGGAAGCUUAAUAAUAAGAUAUACAUCUCUUUAUAUUUCACUAAAUGGCUAAAGAAUGCGGAAAACUUAUGUUUAUACAAAAACCAGCAGACUGACAUUUAUAGCAGCUUUAUCCAUAACUGUCAACAUUUGGAAGCAACCAAGAUGUCCUUUAGCAGGUGAAUUGAUAAAUAAAACUGUGGCACAUCCAGACAAGGGAAUAUUAUUCAGCACUAAAAAUAAAGGAGCUAUCAAGCCAGGAAAAAACAAGGAGGAAACUCACAUGCAUAUUGCUAAGUAAAAGAAGCCAGCCUGGAAAAGCUGCAUACUGUAUGAUUCCAACUCUGUGACAUUCUGGAAAAGUAAAACCCUGGAGGCAGUAAAGAGAUCAGUGGUUGCCAGAAGUUAGGAGGAAAGGAGGGAUGAAUAGGCAGGGCACAGAGGAUUUUUAGGGCAGUGAAACUACUCUGUGUGGUCCUGUAAUGGUGGUUUAAUGUCAUUAUGCAUUUGGCCACACCCAUAGAAUGUACACCACCAAGAGUGAACUCUAAUGUAAACUGUGGACUUUGGGUGAUAAUGAUGUGUCAGUGUGGGUUCAAUUGUAACAAAUGUGCCACUCUGGUGGGGGAUGGUGAUAAUGCGGAGCUGUGCACGUGGGGUGGGCAGGGGCAUGCGGGAAAUCUCUGUCCCUUCCUCUCAAUUUUGCAGUAAACUUUAAAGCUCUUAAAAAGUAAGUAUUUUUUAAACAAGAAAGAAACAAGGUGAACUAAAUGUACAGCUAGAUCUAACAUAAGGAAAUAAGAAUUGCUAUUAAUUUACAUAUAUUAACUAAUUAAUUGUGAACCUUUUUAAAAUACCAUUGUGAACUGUAAUGUAUUUUAUAUUCAAAUGAAUCCUCAGCCUUCUUCAUUGUAAAUAUUAGCUGAACAAAUGAGUAAAUAAAAAUCGACUUCAUAGAAAAUCAAGUGAGUCCGGUCAUAGCCAGAUAACAGUGUUUAACCCACAAAAGAUAUGCAAUUGUUCUUUAAAACAGUAAGAGGAUUAAUACAAAAUUAUUAAAGUUUAUAUUAAAGACAUAAAUGUAAUCUUUACAAAUAAUUUUCUUAUGGAUAAAUUAUGCUUACUGUAGUUAUUAGCCGGAACUUGCAAUAAUCUCCAUAUUAAGACAACCAAGACAACAAUUAGUUUGUUUUAAGGCACCUGCCAACUUAUAUACUAGAAAAUAAAAGUUUUCCAAGUGAAAAAACAGCUUUGCUCAGAAUUUAAAACACUCUACUGGAUAGCCUGCUUAACAGCACUAGGAAAACAAAAAUUCUAUGCAUCAAAAGAUGAAUGAAAAGAGAAACAAUAAACCAGGAUGAAGAUACAUACAAACCCAAUGGCUUCAUAUCUAGAAUACAUAAAGAACUCCCACAAAUCAAUAAGAAAAAGAGAAGCAGCCCAAUAGAAAAAUGGCAAAGUAUGUGAACACAGAAUCUAUGAAAGAGAAAAUUCAAAUACUCCAAAACAUUUUUAAAUAUGUUCAACCUCUGGCUGGGCACAGUGGCUCACGCCUAUAAUCCCAGCAAUUUGGGAGGCUAAGGCAAGUGGCUCUCUUGAGGCCAGCCUGGACAACAUGGCAAAACCCUGUCUCUGCUAAAAACACAAAAAUUAGCUGGGUGUGGUGGCACAUGCCUGUAAUCCCAGCUACUCAGGAGGCUGAGGCACAAGAAUCACUUAAGCAUGGGAGACCAAGGUUGCAGUGAGCUGAGAUCACACCACUGCACUCCAGCCUGGGCAACAGAGCAAGGCUUUGUCUCAAAAAAAAAAGUUUAACCUCAAAAUACUUACAGAGAUGCAAAUAAAACCAUUAGAUUUCAUACUUAUCAAAUUCAUUAAAGUUUUCCAAUUCUGGCAACACAUUAUUUUGGCAAGUAUAUGAAGUAACACAGCUGAUGGAACUAUAAACUUGUACAAUCGAUUUGGAGAAAAUUUGGGAAUAUAUAUAUAUAUAUAUAUAUCAGAUUUGAAACUACUCACAGCCUAUGACUCAGCAAUUCCAAACCUGAAGAAACUCCUGUCCACAUGCCCAAGAAGAUCUCUUUAAGAAUGUUCACAGCAUUAUUUAUUUCUAAAUAAUACAAAACUGAAAAUGUUACACAUGCUCCUUCAAGAAUAAAAUGUGUAAGCAAACUGUGAUGUAUUCAUAAAUAAAAAUAGUUAAAACAUGCAAACCAGAUAUCUGUAUCUAUCUAUAUUUUUAUCAGCAUGAAUAAAUGCCCAGAACAUAGCACUAAAAGAAAAAAGCAAGUUGGAAGGACAAAUACAGUUUAAUAAUACUUUUAUGAAGUUUUAAAUAUAUGCAAAAGAGCACCAUGAAUUGAUUAUUAAUGCAAACAUAUACUAUAAAAAUAUAAUGAUAUGUAUGAGAAUGAUAGACAUUAAAUUCAGGAAACUAAUGAUCUCAGCUUGGGAGGGAGGGGAACAGGGUAAGAGUGUGGGGGCUUUAACUGUACCUAUAAUGUUUUUUGUUUUUUGUUUUUUUAAGCUGGGUGGCUAGUUCUUCGGUGUUUAUUAAAUAUAUUCUUCAUAGUUUUUGUUUUCUUAAAAAUACUUCAUAAUUUAAAACUAAAAAUGGCAUCUGCCUCACAACCCCUAACAAGGCCUUUCCCAGUUUCCCAUUAACAUAAAGAUGC
rnacentral:lncRNA from 1 species